rnacentral:rRNA from 1 species
GUGGGGAAUAUUGGACAAUGGGGGGAACCCUGAUCCAGCCAUGCCGCGUGUGUGAAGAAGGCCUUUUGGUUGUAAAGCACUUUAAGCGAGGAGGAGGCUACCGAGAUUAAUACUCUUGGAUAGUGGACGUUACUCGCAGAAUAAGCACCGGCUAACUCUGUGCCAGCAGCCGCGGUAAUACAGAGGGUGCAAGCGUUAAUCGGAUUUACUGGGCGUAAAGCGCGCGUAGGUGACCAAUUAAGUCAAAUGUGAAAUCCCCGAGCUUAACUUGGGAAUUGCAUUAGAUACUGGUUGGCUAGAGUAUGGGAGAGGAUGGUAGAAUUCAAGGUGUAGCGGUGAAAUGCGUAGAGAUCUGGAGGAAUACCGAUGGCGAAGGCAGCCAUCUGGCCUAAUACUGACACUGAGGUGCGAAAGCAUGGGGAGCAAACAGGAUUAGAAACCCUAGUAGUCC